AUUUGUUUGUUUUCGGUUUUCGCAUAAACAAGUUGGCAAUUAGCUGAUCAAAUUGUCACCUUUGGCAAUAACAAAAGCGUCACAUGUCAUCUGGUUGGUGAAUUUUUCAAAAGCAUGGACUUUUUGAAAUUCUUCACAGCACCAAAAGAGACCCCGAUUGUCAGAGAACAAGCCGAAAGGAUUCUGGCUUUGAAACGUGAAAUCGACGAGCUGAAGAACCAAAACUUAACCCUGGAGAAGAUAAUCAUAAACAACGGAUGCGAAGUGCCUCCGUACGGCCAAGGUGAUCAGGUCUCCCACAACUUCCACAACACAAUGACCGGUUACGAGAAGUUCAUAGAGGAGCACAUGGAAAUUAAGGAGCAGAUGGAGACCCAAAUAAAAUUGACGGACGAACGUAUAAAAGAACAUGAGCGAACUAUCAACGAGUUUAAGGAGAAGUUCGCGGACACAAAGUCGCAGAUUGAGAUGCGUAAGGCCAAUCUGGAUGUUAUAAAGGGGGAAGUUUUCGACUUGAGUCUGAAGGCACGUGACCUUACCGAAAAGUGCGAUGUCAAUUAUCAUUUGUUUGGGUAAUAAUAUUUAAUGUUCCCGCCAAAUUUGCAGUGACAAAUCUUCAUUAAAAAAUCUAGUUUGUUUAAAACAAAUUGUUGCUAGGAGAGUAACAUAUUGUUUUUAUCAAUAUUUUUUUUUGUUCUUGUAUAGCGUUAUGUUCGUCGUAAAAUGAGGAAGAGAAAAAGUUUUGUUUUGUUAUUAAAAAAACACAAAAAGAAAGGAAAUUAUUAAAUAGCCGUUAUGUUCGUCGUAAAAUGUAGAGCAGAAAAAGUUUUAUUUUGUUCUUAAAAAAAAAACACAAAAAGAUAGGGAGUUAUUAAAUUCAAAAGAAGCAAGAAGAAAUGUGAAAUGAUAUAAAUAUAUAAUACUACUAGUAACUACUUGGUAAAUGUGUCUUUAAUACUUGUGUUGAGUAAUAUUAACAUUUAAUGUGAUUUGAAUGAACUUCAAUUUUUUGUUGAUUAAAUUUAUGUAAAAUUGUAAUUUAUGUAUUAUACAUCUGUUGUAGAUUAUUGUUACAAAAAUAUAUCGAGUAAAAUGUAUUACAAAAUUAUUGUUAGUACUUAUUAUUGAAAUAUAUGUUUAUAUUAUUUUAUUGCAGUAAUUAUUUGUAUUCUUUAAGAUUGUCAAUACUUCACAAAAUAAUUUAUAGCUGAGAAGAGCACAUGGAAAUUUAAAGAGCAGAUGGAGAUCCAAAUAAAAUUGACGGACGAACGUAUAAAAGAACAUGAGCGAACUAUCAACGAGUUUAAGGAGAAGUUCGCGGGCACAAAGUCCCAGAUUGAGAUACGUAAGGCCAAUCUGGAUGUCACAAAGGGGAAAGUUUUCGACUUGAGUCUGAAGGCAAGUGACCUUACCGAAAAGUGCGACGUCAAUUAUCAUUUGUCUGGGUAAUAACAUUUAAUAUUUCCUCCAAAUUUGCAGUGGCAAUUCUUCAUUAAAAAAUCUAGUUUGUUUAAAACAAAUUGUUGCUAGAAGAGUAACAACAUAUUGUUUUUAUCAAUAUUUUUUUUUGUUCUUGUAUAGCGUUAUGUUCGUCGUAAAAUGAGGAAGAGAAAAAGUUUUGUUUUGUUCUUAAAAAAACACAAAAAGAAAGGGAAUUAUUAAAUAGCCGUUAUGUUCGUCGUAAAAUGUAGAGCAGAAAAAGUUUUAUUUUGUUAUUAAAAAAACACAAAAAGAAAGGGAAUUAUUAAAUAGCCGUUGUGUUCGUCGUAAAAUGUAGAGCAGAAAAAGUUUUAUUUUGUUCUUAAAAAAACACAAAAAGAAAGGGAAUUAUUAAAUAGCCGUUAUGUUCGUCGUAAAAUGUAGAGCAGAAAAAGUUUUAUUUUGUUCUUAAAAAAAAAACACAAAAAGAUAGGGAGUUAUUAAAUUCAAAAGAAGCAAGAAGAAAUGUGAAAUGAUAUAAAUAUAUAAUACUACUAGUAACUACUUGGUAAAUGUGUCUUUAAUACUUGUGUUGAGUAAUAUUAACAAUUAAUGUGAUUUGAAUGAACUUCAAUUUUUUGUUGAUUAAAUUUAUGUAAAAUUGUAAUUUAUGUAUUAUACAUCUGUUGUAGAUUAUUGUUACAAAAAUAUAUCGAGUAAAAUGUAUUACAAAAUUAUUGUUAGUACUUAUUAUUGAAAUAUAUGUUUAUAUUAUUUUAUUGCAGUAAUUAUUUGUAUUCUUUAAGAUUGUCAAUACUUCACAAAAUAAUUUAUAGCUGAGAAGAGCACAUGGAAAUUUAAAGAGCAGAUGGAGACCCAAAUAAAAUUGACGGACGAACGUAUAAAAGAACAUGAGCGAACUAUCAACAAGUUUAAGGAGAAGUUCGCGGACACAAAGUCUCAGAUUGAGAUGCGUAAGGCCAAUCUGAAUGUUAUAAAGGGGGAAGUUUUCGACUUGAGUCUGAAGGCACGUGACCUUACCGAAAAGUGCGAUGUCAAUUAUCAUUUGUUUGGGUAAUAAUUAAUGUUCCCACCAAAUUUGCAGUGGUAAUUCUUCAUUAAAAAAUCUAGUUUGUUUAAAACAAUUUGUUGCUAGGAGAGUAACAACAUAAUGUUUUAUCAAUAUUUUUUUUUUCUUGUAUAGCGUUAUGUUCGUCGUAAAAUGAGGAAGAGAAAAAGUUUUGUUUUGUUAUUAAAAAAACACAAAAAGAAAGGGAAUUAUUAAAUAGCCGUUGUGUUCGUCGUAAAAUGUAGAGCAGAAAAAGUUUUAUUUUGUUCUUAAAAAAACACAAAAAGAUAGGGAGUUAUUAAAUUCAAAAGAAGCAAGAAGAAAUGUGAAAUGAUAUAAAUAUAUAAUACUACUAGUAACUACUUGGUAAAUGUGUCUUUAAUACUUGUGUUGAGUAAUAUUAACAAUUAAUGUGAUUUGAAUGAACUUCAAUUUUUUGUUUAUUAAAUUUAUGUAAAAUUGUAAUUUAUGUAUUAUACAUCUGUUGUAGAUUAUUGUUACAAAAAUAUAUCGAGUAAAAUGUAUUACAAAAUUA